ACCAAAAAGAUGUUACAGUUUUAAGUAAGCUAAAUCUUAAGAAGAUGAUUUAUGUUAAAGAAUGUGAGACAGGAUUCUAUGGACCGAACUGUACAACGAAAUGCCCUCAAGGAACUUAUGGAAUGGACUGUCAACAGAUUUGCAGUUGUGAGAUUAAAGAUUGUCAUCAUGUGUUCGGUUGUUUUACAAAUUCAACACAGACUACAUACAACCUGAAUGUUGACAAAGAUGUAGCAACGAUUGGAGACAGUCACCGAGGAGAUAACAAUGAAUUACAGCCAAAACCCAACCAAAUGUGCGGCAAUACGUCAACGCCCACCAAACCAAAGAUAACUAUGAUGAUAACAGGAAUUAUUGUUCUUGCAACAGUGGCUUUAAUCAUUUUAAUAUCUAAUCUUUUUAUCCAUCGACUGA